AUAUAGCUCAGUGGUAGAGUGCUUGCCUGGCAAGCACAAGGCCCUGGGUUCAAUCCCCAGUAGCACGG